rnacentral:rRNA from 1 species
ACUCAAAGGAAUUGACGGGGGCCCGCACAAGCGGCGGAGCGCGUUGCUUAAUUCGAUGCAAAGCGAAGAACCUUACCCAGGCUUGACAUCCCCGAAGUAGGUGCCUGAAAGGGUUACCCACCCGUAAAGUCGGGAACGGGGACAGGUGUUGCAUGGCUGUCGUCAGCUCGUGCCGUGAGGUGUUGGGUUAAGUCCCGCAACGAGCGCAACCCUCGCCAUAUGUUGCCAGCGGGUAGUGCCGGGCACUCAUAUGGGACUGCCGGGGAAACCCCGGAGGAAGGAGAGGAUGACGUCAAGUCAGCAUGGCCCUUACGCCUGGGGCUGCAAACGCGCUACAAUGCGUGGUACAGCGGGUUGCGAGGCCGCAAGGCGGAGCGAAUCCCGAAAAGCCACGCUCAGUUCGGAUCGGGGUCUGCAACCCGACCCCGUGAAGCUGGAGUCGCUAGUAAUGGCAGAUCAGCACGCUGCCGUGAAUGCGUUCCCGGGCCUUGUACACACCGCCCGU